CUGCGGGUGCUAUACAUGCAAGUCGAGCGGACAGAUGGGAGCUUGCUCCCUGAUGUUAGCGGCGGACGGGUGAGUAACACGUGGGUAACCUGCCUGUAAGACUGGGAUAACUCCGGGAAACCGGGGCUAAUACCGGAUGGUUGUUUGAACCGCAUGGUUCAGACAUAAAAGGUGGCUUCGGCUACCACUUACAGAUGGACCCGCGGCGCAUUAGCUAGUUGGUGAGGUAACGGCUCACCAAGGCGACGAUGCGUAGCCGACCUGAGAGGGUGAUCGGCCACACUGGGACUGAGACACGGCCCAGACUCCUACGGGAGGCAGCAGUAGGGAAUCUUCCGCAAUGGACGAAAGUCUGACGGAGCAACGCCGCGUGAGUGAUGAAGGUUUUCGGAUCGUAAAGCUCUGUUGUUAGGGAAGAACAAGUGCCGUUCAAAUAGGGCGGCACCUUGACGGUACCUAACCAGAAAGCCACGGCUAACUACGUGCCAGCAGCCGCGGUAAUACGUAGGUGGCAAGCGUUGUCCGGAAUUAUUUGGGCGUAAAGGGCUCGCAGGCGGUUUCUUAAGUCUGAUGUGAAAGCCCCCGGCUCAACCGGGGAGGGUCAUUGGAAACUGGGGAACUUGAGUGCAGAAGAGGAGAGUGGAAUUCCACGUGUAGCGGUGAAAUGCGUAGAGAUGUGGAGGAACACCAGUGGCGAAGGCGACUCUCUGGUCUGUAACUGACGCUGAGGAGCGAAAGCGUGGGGAGCGAACAGGAUUAGAUACCCUGGUAGUCCACGCCGUAAACGAUGAGUGCUAAGUGUUAGGGGGUUUCCGCCCUUUAGUGCUGCAGCUAACGCAUUAAGCACUCCGCCUGGGGAGUACGGUCGCAAGACUGAAACUCAAAGGAAUUGACGGGGGCCCGCACAAGCGGUGGAGCAUGUGGUUUAAUUCGAAGCAACGCGAAGAACCUUACCAGGUCUUGACAUCCUCUGACAAUCCUAGAGAUAGGACGUCCCCUUCGGGGGCAGAGUGACAGGUGGUGCAUGGUUGUCGUCAGCUCGUGUCGUGAGAUGUUGGGUUAAGUCCCGCAACGAGCGCAACCCUUGAUCUUAGUUGCCAGCAUUCAGUUGGGCACUCUAAGGUGACUGCCGGUGACAAACCGGAGGAAGG
rnacentral:rRNA from 1 species